rnacentral:rRNA from 1 species
GAUGAACGCUGGCGGCGUGCCUAAUACAUGCGAGUCGAGCGAACAGACGAGGAGCUUGCUCCUCUGACGUUAGCGGCGGACGGGUGAGUAACACGUGGAUAACCUACCUAUAAGACUGGGAUAACUUCGGGAAACCGGAGCUAAUACCGGAUAAUAUAUUGAACCGCAUGGUUCAAUAGUGAAAGACGGUUUUGCUGUCACUUAUAGAUGGAUCCGCGCCGCAUUAGCUAGUUGGUAAGGUAACGGCUUACCAAGGCGACGAUGCGUAGCCGACCUGAGAGGGUGAUCGGCCACACUGGAACUGAGACACGGUCCAGACUCCUACGGGAGGCAGCAGUAGGGAAUCUUCUGCAAUGGGCGAAAGCCUGACGGAGCAACGCCGCGUGAGUGAUGAAGGUCUUCGGAUCGUAAAACUCUGUUAUUAGGGAAGAACAAAUGUGUAAGUAACUAUGCACGUCUUGACGGUACCUAAUCAGAAAGCCACGGCUAACUACGUG